rnacentral:lncRNA from 1 species
GAAGCUUUGUUCUUUCGCUCUUUGCAGGAACUCUUGCUGCUGCUCGCUCUUUGGGUCCACGCUGCCUUUAGGAGCUGUAACACUCACGGCGAAGGUCCGCAGCUUCACUCCUGAGCCAGCGAGACCACGAGCCCACCGGGAGGAAAGAACAACUCCAGACGCGCCGCCUUAAGAGCUGUAACACUCACCGUGAAGGUCCGCAGCUUCACUCCUGAGCCGGCGAGACCACGAACCCACCAGAAGGAAGAAACUCCAAAGACGUUCAAACAUCAGAAGGAACAAACUCCGGACACGCCACCUUUAAGAACUGUAACACUCACCGCGAGGGUCCAUGGCUUCAUUCUUGAAGUCAGUGAGAUCAAGAACACACCAAUUCUGGACCCAGUAUCUCCCCAUACCCUAACUCCUUUCCCAAAGUAGGCAGAAAAACAGCCCUGUUGUUCCGGUGGAAGCCUUAGCUCUGUAUUCCUUUUAGACUGUAUUUCAAAACGCAUUAUUAGAGCCCCAAAGUCACCUGGUGAAAGAAUGUGAGAGCUGGAAGUGGCCUCAAAAUCCAGUUGAACCCUCUUAUUUCAUAUGUUUGGAAACUGAGCACUAGAAAAGUGAGCUCUUCUAGUAACAUAUAUUUGAAGCCUCUUUUAUGAAUCCAACUUGAGAAUCUGUCUUUUAAAUGGUCCUCUGAACGGGCCACACCACGGUUGAGCCAUUGUGACCCCUGCGACACACAGGUCCAGGCCUCCUGGAGUCACAAAGCUUUGAGCAACAGGAGAACCACUAAAGAAGAAGAAACAGCUAGCUCCUGCCUUAACUGAUUAACCGAACUUGCAACAUUCCACCAUUGUGAUAUGUUCCUGCCCUACCCUAAAUAAUCAAUCGGCCUUGUGAUAUCCUGCCAUGUGAACUCCCUCCACCUCGUGACUACGCACCUUGUGACAUUCUUCCCCUGCCCGAAAAGACUGCCCCAACUGUAACCUUCCACUACCUAUCCCAAACCUAUAAAACCAGUUCCACUCCCACCGCCCUUCGCUGACUCCCUUUUCAGACUCAGCCCGCUCGCACCGGAGUGAAUAAACAGCCUUGUUGCUCACACUUAGCCUGUCUGGGUAGUCUCUUCAAUUAGGCACGCGCUUAACACUUUCCAAAUUUUCUACAUUCAAAUGAUGUGCCAAAGCUGGCUCGCACCAAUCUGAGGUGUCAAUUUUGUGCGUCUUUUCCAAACUUUCCAUGCAAUGAUGAUAGACUGAUAGCUUGAAAUCGGUCAUAGUGAAGUAUUUACACCAUGGAAAUUGGCAAUUCUACAAACAGGCUUUUUCCAUCUAAAGAGCUGGUUGCUAUACAUUACCAGCACACCACUGGCA